GGCCCUCAACUUGAGCUUUGUCUGAGACAAUAACUCAUCUCCAAGGAAUUGGUUAUGCCAAUAAUCCAAAACAAAGCUCUAAGCUUUUAACCUGGAGAGAUGAGGAAGGUAAUUCAGGACAAAUUCAGCCUUAUGUUAUGACAAAUCUGUCUGUUACUCUGUGGGGAAGAGAUCUGUGGUCACAAAUGGCUCUUGCUCUGUGCAGCUCCAGUGAAAUAAACAGAGGUCAGAACAGGACAUUAGAACAUCUGGAGACCUUAAGCCUCAUUCUAAUAGUAAAGAUUUGAAGCAUUUUCCAUAAUGGUCACUAUCUUGCCUACACCCCAUGCAGAUAAAAUUCAAUCGAUGAAUAAUAUUCCAGAGUGGGUUGAUCAGUGGUCGUUAUCUCAAGAAAAGAUAGAAGCUGCUUCUUUGCUAGUGCAGGAGCAAUUGGAAGCAGGACAUCUGAGGGAAUCCAAUUCCCCAUGGAAUACGCCUAUAUUUGUCAUCAAGAAAAAAUCAGGAAACGAAGCCUUGGAAGAUUGCUUCUGUACGUACCAUUAUCUAUUGAUUUGAAAUCAGAAGACAUCAAAUUGCAACGAAAGCUCGAAAUCAGCCCGUCUGGUAUCCAUAAAAACACCUGAAGUGAACAUUUUUUCCUAACGCCAUUCCACAACCUUUGCCUUGUUACCUUGUUUGCUGUAUUACAUAGACAUUUACUUUAAUCUCACAAUGAACCCCACAGGAAACAUUACCUCUUUCUCAUUUUAAAUAACAAUCGAGAUGACGUCCCAUCCUUUUACCUGUAAA